UUUAUGUAAUUUUACAUCUUGUAAUAUAUUAAAAAAAGUCAAAAUUAAAGACUAUAUGCUUAUUAUAAGUAUCUAGAAAAAAUAAAUGCUUAAAAAAAGAAUUUUUUUUCCAUUAGUAAUCUAACUUCGAAAUUUGAAUAUUUUUGAAAUAUUUGAGAAAGAUUAAAAGAUUAAUAAUAGAAAAUUCCAGUUAACUUUGUAAUAUCUUGAUUGUAUUAUUGCUCCCUUUCCAUCAAAAGAGAUAAGAGCCGGUGAAUCAGAAACGAUUAAUUAAGAAAGAAUAAGAAAAAAGUUUUUAUAACUUCCACGUUUUAAUAUAAAAAGAAAAUGAGGUAACACAAAAAUGGAGAACAGUGACAAAAAAUAAUCAAAUUGAUAUUAAAGAAUGAUAUUAAACAA
rnacentral:lncRNA from 1 species